rnacentral:rRNA from 1 species
AUUGAACGCUGGCGGCACGCUUAACACAUGCAAGUCGAACGAGUGGCGGACGGGUGAGUAAUGCUUAGGACUCCAGCUUAUGGAGGGGGAUCAACAAGAGACACUGUAUAUAAUCCCGUGCUACCUACUAAGAGCCCAAGUGGGAAUAGUUAGUUGGUGAGGUAAAGGCUCACCAAGCAGACGACCUCUAGCUGGUCUGAGAGGAUGACCAGCCACACUGGGACUGAGACACGGUCAAGAAGCCUACGGGAGGCAGCAGUGGGGAAUAUUGCGCAAUGGGAGCAAGCUGACGCAGCCAUGCCGCGUGAAUGAAGAAGGCCUUCGGGUUGUAAAGUUCUUUCGGUAGCGAGGCGUUAACUACAGAAGAAGCACCGGCUAACUCCGUGCCAGCCGCCGCGGUAAUUC